CCCUGAUUAGAUCAUCCGAAUCGUGCUCAACUCAAAUAGUCCUGUGACUCCUCACAAAGACUACCCUGGCCAAGGUUUUGCUAAAUUGAAAUAUGACUAUACACAGCUCCUAAACUGGAGUGGUCAAUCCCAUCUUGACACACGCACCGACAAGUCAAGUACUUGACUACACCCAGCAGCCUUUCAUCACUGAAUUAAAAAUUCAGGUAGUCCAGUACCUAAGUACAGUGAGUUUCUUGCAAGUCACCGUGGCGGUCUC
rnacentral:lncRNA from 1 species